GACGAACCGUCCCAAACGUUAUUCGGAAUCACUGGGCUUAAAGGGCGCGUAGGCGGCCGAGCGGGUCGUGGGUGAAAUCCCCCGAGCUUAACUGGGGAACUGCUUACGAUACCCACUGCGGCUCGAGGAAGGAAGGGGCAAUUGGAACUGUCGGUGGAGCGGUGAAAUGCGUUGAUAUCGACAGGAACGCCUGUGGCGAAAGCGAAUUGCUGGUCCUUUUCUGACGCUGAGGCGCGAAAGCCA
rnacentral:rRNA from 1 species